UCGCNUCUGCUGUGAAAGGCUGGGGCUUAACCCUGGUUUUGCAGUGGGUACGGGCUAACUAGAGUGCAGUAGGGGAGACUGGAAUUCCUGGUGUAGCGGUGGAAUGCGCAGAUAUCAGGAGGAACACCGAUGGCGAAGGCAGGUCUCUGGGCUGUAACUGACGCUGAGAAGCGAAAGCAUGGGGAGCGAACAGGAUUAGAUACCCUGGUAGUCCAUGCCGUAAACGUUGGGCACUAGGUGUGGGGGACAUUCCACGUUUUCCGCGCCGUAGCUAACGCAUUAAGUGCCCCGCCUGGGGAGUACGGCCGCAAGGCUAAAACUCGAAGAAAUUGACGGGGGCCCGCACAAGCGGCGGAGCAUGCGGAUUAAUUCGAUGCAACGCGAAGAACCUUACCAAGGCUUGACAUAUACUGGACUGCGUCAGAGAUGGCGUUUCCCUUCGGGGCUGGUAUACAGGUGGUGCAUGGUUGUCGUCAGCUCGUGUCGUGAGAUGUUGGGUUAAGUCCCGCAACGAGCGCAACCCUCGUUCUAUGUUGCCAGCACGUGAUGGUGGGGACUCAUAGGAGACUGCCGGGGUUAACUCGGAGGAAGGUGGGGAUGACGUCAAAUCAUCAUGCCCCUUAUGUCUUGGGCUUCACGCAUGCUACAAUGGCCGGUACAGAGGGUUGCGAUACUGUGAGGUGGAGCUAAUCCCUAAAAGCCGGUCUCAGUUCGGAUUGGGGUCUGCAACUCGACCCCAUGAAGUCGGAGUCGCUAGUAAUCGCAGAUCAGCAACGCUGCGGUGAAUACGUUCCCGGGCCUUGUACACACCGCCCGUCAAGUCACGAAAGUUGGUAACACCCGAA
rnacentral:rRNA from 1 species